AAUUGACUUUUCUAUUAUUUCUCUAAUUUCUUUCUCUCUGCAUUGUUGGGAAGGACCCGUAAGUAAGCAUUUCACUGUUAGUCUACACCUGUUGUUUACAAAGCAUGUGAUCAACAAAAAUUGCUUUGAUUUGAAAGGGGUCAUAUUAAGAUCCAACAUUUGUAGUCAAGAAAACACCAUGAAAAACGCAACCAUUUAGAAUCAAUCAACUGUAGCAUGGUAAUAGUUUGGAGACUUUCACUUGGUCUUAUCCACAUGUAAACAAAUGCUGAAAUAUGAAAUAUGAGGAACAUCAUGUAAUUUUUGUAAUUAUUUUUCUUUCAGAAAACCAUGAGUGGCGGUGUGAACAUCAAGACCAUAUCCCAGGCCCAACCAGGCUCAGGUCUGGUCUCUGGAAUCCCCCUUCCCCGGAGGAUAACCCCCCUCUCCAAACUGGACCCGAAACAUCAGGGGGGCAGCGCCCUAUCUAACCCCACAGCACAGUUUCAACUCAGCACCAAAAUGCAUCCCUCCUACUCUUCAUCAUCUUCAUCCUUUUCAAAUGAGCUGCUGAGUGGUGCAGCUUUGAGGGGUGGUAUCUGUCCCACUGGCUCCUCCUCCAGAGUCUCCUAUGCCCCAGAGAGAGGCACCAUCAGCCGGUCAGCCUACAGCAGCCCCCAGGUCCCCAAGAGACAGACACCACCACGCUCCAAGGACACCCUGGACCUCCGCAGCAGCAGUGCUCUAUCCCAGAAGGCUUUUCGAGAACUUCACACCAGGAGAAAUGCCAACGGGAACUGGGCCUCAGGCGGGGUUCGCCACAGCCGUCUGGACGACAAUGGAGACGCGCAGGAUGCCCUGUCGAGGCUCUCUGGUGGUGAUCUCCACUCAGGCCAAAGCAGGCUCUCCAACACUAAAGCAGGGAACGGGAAUCUGAUCAGCGCUGUGUUGAUGACCACCCGUCAGGAGCAGAGGGAGCCGAGGAACCUCUCCUGCCAAGGCAUGGUCGCAUCUAAAAAAGAUAUGUCCACCAACAAACAUAGAGCGUCCCAUCUGAGCCAGGGUGGUGGUACCAGGCAGACAGUCAGUGUGCCACGCAGAGGGAGUGAGCCAGCCCGUAGUAACAUGGCCACUGUGGCACCUUUCAGGUUCAGGUUGAAUGUCCAGGAUGAUGAUGCCUCUUCUCUGGAGGACCUGAGUGACUGCUCCUCAGACUCCAUGGAGGUGUGCUGUGAUGACCUGGGUGAGUCACAUUCACUCGUUGUCUCACCACGUUCACUGUACAGUACUAGUAUUAGGGUUGGCCUUUUUAACUCAGGGACAAAGUAUACUGCUGCUUGAGGAUUAAAGAACAAACUGGUUUUGGAUACCACAUUCGAUUCGACUUCCAUUAAACAUCUUGUAGACAUCCUUUUUAACCAAUUUAAUGAAAAUAUGUCUGUGGGUUUACUGCCCCAGUCCUACACUAAUGUGAUUAAGGUGUUACACAAAUAUCCUCAUCCAGGGUUUGGUACCAAAUCUAGUCCUCCUGCUGUAGAAGGUUAUCUGAGCAGGCGUUAUGGGUAUUUGUAGUCGUUUUCAGACACUUAUCUGUGUUUAAAUCCGUCCUGACAUACUGGCAAAAAGUAUGUAGACAUCUGCUUGUCGAACAUCUCAUUCCAAAAUCAGGGCCAUUAAUAUGGAGUUGGUCACCAGUUUGCUGCUAUAACAGCCUCCACUCUUCUGAGAAAAGUGUGUCUGAAGUAACCAAAUCCACAAAUUUGAAGGGGUGUCCACAUACUUUUGUAUAUACAGUGUAUAUAUCCGCUCUGAUCUGGAGCUCUCAUCUAAGGCAUAAAGGCCACAUGUAUGAAGAAACAGACUUACAUUUGGACAUGAUUUUGCAUAUACCAGGAAUAGUAGAAAGUAUGGUCAAUUGUACUCUGGUAUCCUUGAGGAAACAUAAAACCAUUGGAAAAUGUUUCUAGACAAUCUUUUUUUUUUUUGCUUGGGAUCACAGGUUGAAUUGGGAUUUUGCAGGAUGCAGGUGGUGGGAUUGGUUCCAACUAUGCUGUCCAAUAAUGUUGUAUUUCCAUGUUCAUUUUCAACAGAAAUCUAUUCACAUUUCACUCUAUGGUUAGGAUCAAUUCUGUCCCCUGACCAUGUUUUAAAACUUCUUCAGGAUUGGUGGGUCCCCUGCGAGACAGUUGAGCUAACGUAGGCUAAUGCGAUUAGCAUGAGGUUGUAACAACAACAAAAAAUCCCAGGACAUAGACAUAUCUGAUAUUGGCAGAAAGCUCAAAUUCUUGUUAAUCUAACUGCACUGUCCAAUUUACAGUAGCUAUUACAGUAAAAUAAUACCAUGCUAUUGUUUGAGGAGAAUGCACAGUUUUGAACAUGAAAAUGUAUUAAUAAACAAAUGAGGCACAUUUGGGCAGUCUUGACACAAUAUUUUGAACAGAAAUGCAAGGGUUCAUUGGAUCAGUCUGAAACUUUGCACAUACACUGCUGCCAUCUAGUGGCCAAAAUCUAAAUUGCACCUGGGCUGGAAUAAUACAUUAUUGCCUUUCUCUUGCAUUUCAAAGAUAAUGGUACAAAAAAAAUCAUUUUUCUUUCUUUGUAUUAUCUUUUAUCAGAUCUAAUGUGUUAUAUUCUCCUACAUUCCUUUCACAUUUCCACAAACUUCAAAGUGUUUCCUUUCAAAUGGUACCAAGAAUAUGCAUAUCCUUGCUUCAUUGCCUGAGUUACAGGCAGUUAGAUUUGUGUAUGUCAUUUUAGGCAAAAAUUGAAAAAAAGGGGACGAUCCUUAAGAGUUCUUAUCAGAUGAUUCAACCAUGAUAAGCCACUUUAUAUCACAGAUGACACCCUAUCAUUUAUUUUACUAACAGAUCACACACUAUCUUUUAUUUUACAAACAGAUCACUCACUAUCAUUUAUUUUACUAACAGAUCACACCCUAUCUUUUAUUUUACUAACAGAUCACAGCCUAUCUUUUAUUUUACUAACAGAUCACACCCUAUCUUUUAUUUUACUAACAGAUCACACCCUAUCUUUUAUUUUACUAACAGAUCACACCCUAUUUUUAUUUUAGUAACAGAUCACACCCUAUCUUUUAUUUUAGUAACAGAUCACACCCUAUCUUUUAUUUUACUAACAGAUCACACCCUAUUUUUAUUUUAGUAACAGAUCACACCCUAUCUUUUAUUUUAGUAACAGAUCACACCCUAUCUUUUAUUUUACUAACAGAUCACACCCUAUUUUUAUUUUAGUAACAGAUCACACCCUAUCUUUUAUUUUACUAACAGAUCACACCCUAUUUUUAUUUUAGUAACAGAUCACACCCUAUCUUUUAUUUUAGUAACAGAUCACACCCUAUCUUUUAUUUUAGUAACAGAUCACACCCUAUCUUUUAUUUUAGUAACAGAUCACACCCUAUCUUUUUGUCAGUUAUGGCAACACAGAAAAUUAGGACAUAUUGAAAAAGGAGUUGUUUUUCAGUAAACAGGACACCAUGCCAGGCAACUAUGUACUGGUUGUUCUAGUAUUCCAGUGUUAAUAGCCCCUUUCACUAGUUCUCACUACAGUGACUGCCAACAUACAGUACAGUAAACACUUCAUUACUCCCCACCUGUUUUAUACAUCAGGACCUAAGAUCUCCUCCAGCAGUAUGUCACAACUGGAUCUCACUGCUGCUGUUAUAUGAAUACUGUUUUUCGUAAACGCACAUGUGGGAAAAUAUGUUUUCCUGACUGUCAAAAUUACUCUUAAAUCCCAUACAGCAGAUGACUAUUUCCAAAAUGUUUCUACAUCUCGGGAGUACACUUGCCGUGAAAUGUAUGUCAAAACUGUUUAAAAAGCCAUUAGAACAUCUUGACUUUAAACUCCAUUGUCUGUUUUAUUCUUACCGGAGAAUGUAUUUGUUUUGUAUCUUCAAAUGUUGAAUAGGAGCAUAACGAUUAAUUUCACAGUGACAUGUCUGUGAAAAUGUUUAGUACCAAGUUUUCAGACUGCUGGGGGACAUGAGGAUUGGAUAUUGGAAUAGUCAUUCUGCCAAAAAUAUCAAUUUGCAACCAUCCCUGUCUACAACACACCACAAUGUCAACCUACAGUAUAACUAACAUGGAUAUGAAAGGAGAAUACGAAAGUCACUCUGAGCCUGUAAUGGAGAGAGAGGGGUCUAAGUGUUGCCCUGAUUAGUACUGUUUAGGAACACCCAGCGUGCAGAUAAUGAGAAAAGGAAUUCAGAAAACCACUUGCACUAUGAAAGCCUUCUAAGUAGUUAUAAAAGCCUUCUAAGUAGUUAAAAAAGCCUUCUGAGUAGUUAUAAA
rnacentral:lncRNA from 8 species